rnacentral:rRNA from 1 species
CCCCAGACUCCUACGGGAGGCAGCAGUGGGGAAUAUUGCACAAUGGGGGAAACCCUGAUGCAGCAACGCCGCGUGAGUGAAGAAGUCAUUCGUGAUGUAAAGCUCUAUCAGCAGGGAAGAAAAUGACGGUACCUGAGUAAGAAGCCCCGGCUAACUACGUGCCAGCAGCCGCGGUAAUACGUAGGGGGCAAGCGUUAUCCGGAUUCACUGGGUGUAAAGGGAGCGUAGACGGCGACGCAAGUCUGGAGUGAAAGCCCGGGGCCCAACCCCGGGACUGCUCUGGAAACUGCGUCGCUGGAGUACGGGAGGGGCAGGCGGAAUUCCUAGUGUAGCGGUGAAAUGCGUAGAUAUUAGGAGGAACACCAGUGGCGAAGGCGGCCUGCUGGACGAUGACUGACGUUGAGGCUCGAAAGCGUGGGGAGCAAACAGGAUUAGAUACCCGGGUAAC